rnacentral:rRNA from 1 species
AACGCUAGCUACAGGCUUAACACAUGCAAGCCGAGGGGCAGCACAGUGUAGCAAUACACGGGUGGCGACCGGCGCACGGGUGCGUAACGCGUAUCCAACCUUCCCGUUACUCUUGGAUAGCCUUCCGAAAGGGAGAUUAAUACAAGAUGGUAUUCAAAUUCCGCAUGUUAUUUGAAUUAAAGAUUUAUCGGUAACGGAUGGGGAUGCGUGACAUUAGAUAGUAGGCGGGGUAACGGCCCACCUAGUCUACGAUGUCUAGGGGUUCUGAGAGGAAGGCCCCCCACACUGGAACUGAGACACGGUCCAGACUCCUACGGGAGGCAGCAGUGAGGAAUAUUGGUCAAUGGUCGGAAGACUGAACCAGCCAAGUAGCGUGAAGGAUGAAGGUUCUAUGGAUUGUAAACUUCUUUUAUACGGGAAUAAAACACCUUACGUGUAGGGUCUUGUAUGUACCGUAUGAAUAAGCAUCGGCUAACUCCGUGCCAGCAGCCGCGGUAAUACGGAGGAUGCGAGCGUUAUCCGGAUUUAUUGGGUUUAAAGGGAGCGUAGACGGGAUGUUAAGUCAGUUGUGAAAGGCUGCGGCUCAACCGCAGCACUGCAGUUGAUACUGGCGUCCUUGAGUGCGGUUGAGGUAUGUGGAAUUCGUGGUGUAGCGGUGAAAUGCUUAGAUAUCACGAAGAACUCCGAUUG